rnacentral:misc_RNA from 1 species
GAUGAAGAACGUAGCGAAAUGCGAUACGUAAUGUGAAUUGCAGAAUUCCGUGAAUCAUCGAAUCUUUGAACGCACAUUGCGCCCGCUAGUAUUCUGGCGGGCAUGCCUGUUCGAGCGUCAUUUCAACCAUCAAGCCCUGUGCUUGUGUUGGAGCCCUGCGGCUGCCGCAGGCUCCCAAACCCAGUGGCGGGCUCGUCGUCGUACCGAGUGCAGUAAACAUACCACGCUCAGGGCACGCGACGGGUGACCGGCCGUAAAACCCCCCCCCUUCUCAAGGUUGACCUCGGAUCAGGUAGGAAUACCCGCUGAACUUAAGCAUAUCAAUAAGCGGAGGA